rnacentral:rRNA from 1 species
UGCCUACGGGAGGCAGCAGUGGGGAAUAUUGCACAAUGGGCGCAAGCCUGAUGCAGCGACGCCGCGUGAGGGAUGACGGCCUUCGGGUUGUAAACCUCUUUCAGUAGGGAAGAAGCGAAAGUGACGGUACCUGCAGAAGAAGCGCCGGCUAACUACGUGCCAGCAGCCGCGGUAAUACGUAGGGCGCAAGCGUUAUCCGGAAUUAUUGGGCGUAAAGAGCUCGUAGGCGGUUUGUCGCGUCUGCCGUGAAAGUCCGGGGCUCAACUCCGGAUUUGCGGUGGGUACGGGCAGACUAGAGUGAUGUAGGGGAGACUGGAAUUCCUGGUGUAGCGGUGAAAUGCGCAGAUAUCAGGAGGAACACCGAUGGCGAAGGCAGUUCUCUGGGCAUUAACUGACGCUGAGGAGCGAAAGCAUGGGGAGCGAACAGGAUUAGAUACCCUGGUAGUCCAUGCCGUAAACGUUGGGCACUAGGUGUGGGGGACAUUCCACGUUUUCCGCGCCGUAGCUAACGCAU